GAUGAACGCUGGCGGCGUGCCUAAUACAUGCAAGUCGAGCGAACGGACGAGAAGCUUGCUUCUCUGAUGUUAGCGGCGGACGGGUGAGUAACACGUGGAUAACCUACCUAUAAGACUGGGAUAACUUCGGGAAACCGGAGCUAAUACCGGAUAAUAUUUUGAACCGCAUGGUUCAAAAGUGAAAGACGGUCUUGCUGUCACUUAUAGAUGGAUCCGCGCUGCAUUAGCUAGUUGGUAAGGUAACGGCUUACCAAGGCAACGAUGCAUAGCCGACCUGAGAGGGUGAUCGGCCACACUGGAACUGAGACACGGUCCAGACUCCUACGGGAGGCAGCAGUAGGGAAUCUUCCGCAAAGGGCGAAAGCCUGACGGAGCAACGCCGCGUGAGUGAUGAAGGUCUUCGGAUCGUAAAACUCUGUUAUUAGGGAAGAACAUAUGUGUAAGUAACUGUGCACAUCUUGACGGUACAUAAUCAGAAAGCCACGGCUAACUACGUG
rnacentral:rRNA from 1 species